AUUGAACGCUGGCGGCAGGCCUAACACAUGCAAGUCGAACGGUAGCACAGAGAGCUUGCUCUCGGGUGACGAGUGGCGGACGGGUGAGUAACGUCUGGGAAACUGCCCGAUGGAGGGGGAUAACUACUGGAAACGGUAGCUAAUACCGCAUAACGUCGCAAGACCAAAGUGGGGGACCUUCGGGCCCCACACCAUCGGAUGUGCCCAGAUGGGAUUAGCUAGUAGGAGGGGUAAUUGCUCACCUAGGCGACGAUCCCUAGCUGGUCUGAGAGGAUGACCAGCCACACUGGAACUGAGACACGGUCCAGACUCCUACGGGAGGCAGCAGUGGGGAAUAUUGCACAAUGGGCGCAAGCCUGAUGCAGCCAUGCCGCGUGUAUGAAGAAGGCCUUCGGGUUGUAAAGUACUUUCAGCGGGGAGGAAGGCGGUGAAGUUAAUAACUUCACCGAUUGACGUUACCCGCAGAAGAAGCACCGGCUAACUCCGUGCCAGCAGCCGCGGUAA
rnacentral:rRNA from 1 species